GUAGCAAAGAGCAUGUCAGGAAACCACAAGACAUAGUUUCUCUGCGUGGCGAUAAUCUGCAGGGAGCCUGGAUAGCUGUAAUGGUACAUUGCUGCUCGCUCUAUGUCUGGCUUCGCAUUAACUCUUCAAUUUGCUUGCUUUGGCUUCCCUGACUGCUGAAUACAUACGAGCAGGGUCACUUUGACAUAGUAAAAAACCCGCUUCCGGAAUCGGCUCCCGCGCUCCUAAUACUGGGGCUCUGUCGCUCCGCUCGCCUCCGCGCGCGGACCGCGUUCGCUUGCGCAGCCCUGCCGAGGAAGGUUAAUGACGGAAAGGAGCUUGAUUAUUCUGCAGGAUGCUGAUUGCUCACUCUUUCCACAUACUUUUUCUGUCUUUACCUGAAAAAGAAACUAUCAAGCAUGACAGAAUCCCAUAUGUAUGGCCUGGCACUGUGCCAGUGAAGACCCCACCUACCCCGCAAACCAGAUUUUUACUGUACUUGAAGAAUGAGAUCUGAAUUGAAGAGAAUUCAAAAUAGAAGAUUUCAGUGACGUUAAGCCACAAUGUUUUGGAGCUUUCAAUCUAAGGUUUCAAACAAGACUGUGGCCCCUCGGUGGCCCUGUCUCUGUUUCUGUACCCAGCGCAACGGAGGCCCUACCCAGCUCUCAGCUGAAUCGACUCCUCUCACCGCGUUAGCAAGACUGUCCCAAAUGAAGCAAAGAAACAGUGACUCUAAUAAGGCAACUUAUCGAUCAGGCUGAGAAAUUACUAGGGGAAAUAUUAUGGUAUAGAAUCAGUUUUCAAAUGCUAAUACUUC